ACGAGUGGACAGAAAAGGUUAAGAUCCAACUAACUAAUCACGUGUCACUAUUGGGGACGGAAAUAUUAGAGAGCUGUUGUAGUUGAAACUGAUUUUUAGGGUACAUUUGGUUUAAGAGGACCUCUAAUACUAAGUUUUGAAGGUUUACUUUUAAGGGAUCUCUUGGAGAUGCUCUAAAAGCCAAGCUGCGCAAGCCGCCUCUGGAAACCAUAAUGAUGAU
rnacentral:lncRNA from 1 species